UAAUGGUCUUAAAUUUGACUCGGUAAAAACCUGCAGAAACCCUGAAUAAUAAGUAGUUCUCAGGUGUAGUUAUUAGUUUUAUUUUAUUUCUGUGUCAUGCCAAACAUUCGGGGAUUACAAGACACCACCAACCUUUUUAACAGACGUCUUCUGGUCUCGCAGAUACAAAUCAUGUGGAGAAAUACAUGAAUAACAGAAAACAAAA